rnacentral:rRNA from 1 species
UUAAGCGACUAAGCGUACACGGUGGAUGCCCUGGCAGUCAGAGGCGAUGAAGGACGUGCUAAUCUGCGAUAAGCGUCGGUAAGGUGAUAUGAACCGUUAUAACCGGCGAUUUCCGAAUGGGGAAACCCAGUGUGAUUCGUCACACUAUCAUUAACUGAAUCCAUAGGUUAAUGAGGCGAACCGGGGGAACUGAAACAUCUAAGUACCCCGAGGAAAAGAAAUCAACCGAGAUUCCCCCAGUAGCGGCGAGCGAACGGGGAGCAGCCCAGAGCCUGAAUCAGUGUGUGUGUUAGUGGAAGCGUCUGGAAAGGCGCGCGAUACAGGGUGACAGCCCCGUACACAAAAAUGCACAUACUGUGAGCUCGAUGAGUAGGGCGGGACACGUGGUAUCCUGUCUGAAUAUGGGGGGACCAUCCUCCAAGGCUAAAUACUCCUGACUGACCGAUAGUGAACCAGUACCGUGAGGGAAAGGCGAAAAGAACCCCGGCGAGGGGAGUGAAAAAGAACCUGAAACCGUGUACGUACAAGCAGUGGGAGCACGCUUAGGCGUGUGACUGCGUACCUUUUGUAUAAUGGGUCAGCGACUUAUAUUCUGUAGCAAGGUUAACCGAAUAGGGGAGCCGAAGGGAAACCGAGUCUUAACUGGGCGUUAAGUUGCAGGGUAUAGACCCGAAACCCGGUGAUCUAGCCAUGGGCAGGUUGAAGGUUGGGUAACACUAACUGGAGGACCGAACCGACUAAUGUUGAAAAAUUAGCGGAUGACUUGUGGCUGGGGGUGAAAGGCCAAUCAAACCGGGAGAUAGCUGGUUCUCCCCGAAAGCUAUUUAGGUAGCGCCUCGUGAAUUCAUCUCCGGGGGUAGAGCACUGUUUCGGCAAGGGGGUCAUCCCGACUUACCAACCCGAUGCAAACUGCGAAUACCGGAGAAUGUUAUCACGGGAGACACACGGCGGGUGCUAACGUCCGUCGUGAAGAGGGAAACAACCCAGACCGCCAGCUAAGGUCCCAAAGUCAUGGUUAAGUGGGAAACGAUGUGGGAAGGCCCAGACAGCCAGGAUGUUGGCUUAGAAGCAGCCAUCAUUUAAAGAAAGCGUAAUAGCUCACUGGUCGAGUCGGCCUGCGCGGAAGAUGUAACGGGGCUAAACCAUGCACCGAAGCUGCGGCAGCGACACUAUGUGUUGUUGGGUAGGGGAGCGUUCUGUAAGCCUGUGAAGGUGUGCUGUGAGGCAUGCUGGAGGUAUCAGAAGUGCGAAUGCUGACAUAAGUAACGAUAAAGCGGGUGAAAAGCCCGCUCGCCGGAAGACCAAGGGUUCCUGUCCAACGUUAAUCGGGGCAGGGUGAGUCGACCCCUAAGGCGAGGCCGAAAGGCGUAGUCGAUGGGAAACAGGUUAAUAUUCCUGUACUUGGUGUUACUGCGAAGGGGGGACGGAGAAGGCUAUGUUGGCCGGGCGACGGUUGUCCCGGUUUAAGCGUGUAGGCUGGUUUUCCAGGCAAAUCCGGAAAAUCAAGGCUGAGGCGUGAUGACGAGGCACUACGGUGCUGAAGCAACAAAUGCCCUGCUUCCAGGAAAAGCCUCUAAGCAUCAGGUAACAUCAAAUCGUACCCCAAACCGACACAGGUGGUCAGGUAGAGAAUACCAAGGCGCUUGAGAGAACUCGGGUGAAGGAACUAGGCAAAAUGGUGCCGUAACUUCGGGAGAAGGCACGCUGAUAUGUAGGUGAAGUCCCUCGCGGAUGGAGCUGAAAUCAGUCGAAGAUACCAGCUGGCUGCAACUGUUUAUUAAAAACACAGCACUGUGCAAACACGAAAGUGGACGUAUACGGUGUGACGCCUGCCCGGUGCCGGAAGGUUAAUUGAUGGGGUCAGCGCAAGCGAAGCUCUUGAUCGAAGCCCCGGUAAACGGCGGCCGUAACUAUAACGGUCCUAAGGUAGCGAAAUUCCUUGUCGGGUAAGUUCCGACCUGCACGAAUGGCGUAAUGAUGGCCAGGCUGUCUCCACCCGAGACUCAGUGAAAUUGAACUCGCUGUGAAGAUGCAGUGUACCCGCGGCAAGACGGAAAGACCCCGUGAACCUUUACUAUAGCUUGACACUGAACAUUGAGCCUUGAUGUGUAGGAUAGGUGGGAGGCUUUGAAGUGUGGACGCCAGUCUGCAUGGAGCCGACCUUGAAAUACCACCCUUUAAUGUUUGAUGUUCUAACGUUGACCCGUAAUCCGGGUUGCGGACAGUGUCUGGUGGGUAGUUUGACUGGGGCGGUCUCCUCCUAAAGAGUAACGGAGGAGCACGAAGGUUGGCUAAUCCUGGUCGGACAUCAGGAGGUUAGUGCAAUGGCAUAAGCCAGCUUGACUGCGAGCGUGACGGCGCGAGCAGGUGCGAAAGCAGGUCAUAGUGAUCCGGUGGUUCUGAAUGGAAGGGCCAUCGCUCAACGGAUAAAAGGUACUCCGGGGAUAACAGGCUGAUACCGCCCAAGAGUUCAUAUCGACGGCGGUGUUUGGCACCUCGAUGUCGGCUCAUCACAUCCUGGGGCUGAAGUAGGUCCCAAGGGUAUGGCUGUUCGCCAUUUAAAGUGGUACGCGAGCUGGGUUUAGAACGUCGUGAGACAGUUCGGUCCCUAUCUGCCGUGGGCGCUGGAGAACUGAGGGGGGCUGCUCCUAGUACGAGAGGACCGGAGUGGACGCAUCACUGGUGUUCGGGUUGUCAUGCCAAUGGCACUGCCCGGUAGCUAAAUGCGGAAGAGAUAAGUGCUGAAAGCAUCUAAGCACGAAACUUGCCCCGAGAUGAGUUCUCCCUGAGACUUUAAGUCUCCUGAAGGAACGUUGAAGACGACGACGUUGAUAGGCCGGGUGUGUAAGCGCAGCGAUGCGUUGAGCUAACCGGUACUAAUGAACCGUGAGGCUUAACCU